rnacentral:rRNA from 1 species
GUCGAACGCUGGCGGCGUGCCUAAUACAUGCAAGUAGGACGAGUUGCGAACGGGUGAGUAACGCGUGGUAACCUGCAUAUUAGAGGGGGACAACUACUGGAAACGAUAGCUAAUACCGCCUACUAGUAGAUGGAUCUGCGUUGUAUUAGCUAGUAGGUCGGCUAAUGGCCUACCUAGGCAACGAUACAUAACCGACCUGAGUGGUGGAUCGGCCACACUGGGACUGAGACACGGCCCAGACUCGUACGGGAGGCAGCAGUGGGGAAUAUUGCACAAUGGGCGCAAGCCUGAUGCAGCCAUGCCGCGUGUAUGAAGAAGGCCUUAGGGUUGUAAAGUACUUUCAGUGGGGAGGCGUUACCCGCAGAAGAAGCACCGGCUAACUCCGUGCCAGAAGCCGCGGUAAUAC